CCCUUAGAUGUUCUGGGCCGCACGCGCGCUACACUGAUGAAUGCAACGAGCUCUACCCUUGACCGAAAGGCCCGGGUAAACUUGUGAAACUUCAUCGUGAUGGGGAUAGAUUAUUGCAAUUAUUAAUCUUCAACGAGGAAUUCCUAGUAAGCGCGAGUCAUCAGCUCGCGUUGAUUACGUCCCUGCCCUUUGUACACACCGCCCGUCGCUCCUACCGAUUGAAUGAUCCGAUGAAUAUCAUGGAUUGAGGAUGCAAGCAGGUUCGCCUGUCUUCAUCUUCGAGAAGUGAAGUAAAUCUUAUCAUUUAGAGGAAGGAGAAGUCGUAACA
rnacentral:rRNA from 1 species